AUACGGAGGAUGCGAGCGUUAUCCGGAUUCAUUGGGUAUAAAGGGUGCGUAGGCGGCCCCCCAAGUCAGCGGUGAAAUGUCCGGGCCCAACCCGGAGGGUGCCGUUGAUACUGCGGGGCUGGAGUACGGACGCCGGCGGAGGAAUGAGUGGUGUAGCGGUGAAAUGCAUAGAUAUCACUCAGAACACCGAUUGCGAAGGCAUCCGCCGAGGCCGUUACUGACGCUGAGGCACGAAAGCGUGGGGAUAGAACAGGAUUAGAUACCCGGGUAUUCCACGCCGUAAACGAUGAUGACUAACCGCCGGGGGGUAGACUUCCGGCAGCCAAGCGAAAGCGAUAAGUCAUCCACCUGGGGAGUACGGCCGCAAGGCUGAAACUCAAAGGAAUUGACGGGG
rnacentral:rRNA from 1 species